CUUGCUGUACGGCGAAUACGAAUUCUCGCGCACCGCCGCGCUCGACUUCAACAGCUCUUGAAUGUCCGCGUCUGCAAAACACGAGUCGCUCGGAUAUGGGAUGAAGAUUUGGAGAAGAAUAAAGAAGAGAUUCUGGAGAAAUUAUGGAAGGAAAAAAAGAGAAAAGAAAAAGGGAGUUGAAAAGAAGGAAACAAGAGUUAAUGAGUUAAGACGAAAGGGUUCUUAAUAUUAAGAGUAAGAGCAAUAUAACACAAUGAUUAAUAAAUAUUCUGUGAUUUAGGUGUAGGUGUAUAUAGCCAGAUUAGCUUAGGAUAAGGAUAAAAAGAUUAAAUAUAAGGAUAAUUGAUUUGAUUUAAUUUAUUUAAUUUAAUUUAACAUGAUUUGAGUGGAGUUAAUUUAAGGGAAUUGUAAAAGUAAGUGUAAAUAAGCGAGAAAUAAGUGAUAUUUAAGGCAUGGAAGGAUGUGUGAGAUUUAGACUUAUUGUAACCAAGUACCCUUCUUGGCCAUAUAGGCUGAAGUGUUUAAAUAAAUAAUAAAAAUAGUAUAACUUCGAUUAA